rnacentral:SRP_RNA from 1 species
ACCAGGAGCAGUGGCGCGUGCCUGUAGUCCCAGCUACUCGGGAGGCUGAGGUGGGAGGAUCGCUUGAGUCCAGCAGUUCUGGGCUGUAGUGUGCUAUGCCAAUUAGGUGUUUGCACUAAGUUCAGCAUACGGUGACCUUUCAGGAGUUGGGGACCACUAGGUUGCUUAAGGAAGGGUGAACCGGCCCAGGUUGGAAACAGAGCAGGUCAAAACUCCUGUGCUGAUCAGUAGUGGGAUCGUGCCUGUCAAUAGCCACUGCACUCCAGCCUGGGCAACAUGGCAAGACCUCGUCUCU